rnacentral:rRNA from 1 species
CCUACGGGAGGCAGCAGUGGGGAAUCUUGCGCAAUGGGCGAAAGCCUGACGCAGCGAUGCCGCGUGCGGGAAGACGGCCUUCGGGUUGUAAACCGCUUUCAGCAGGGACGCGGUACCUGCAGAAGAAGCUCCGGCCAACUACGUGCCAGCAGCCGCGGUAAGACGUAGGGGGCGAGCGUUGUCCGGAAUUAUUGGGCGUAAAGGGCUCCUAGGCGGUUCAGUAAGUCGACUGUGAAAAUCCAAGGCUCAACCUUGGGACGCCAGUCGAUACUGCUGGACUCGAGUUCGGUAGAGGAGUGUGGAAUUCCUGGUGUAGCGGUGAAAUGCGCAGAUAUCAGGAGGAACACCAACGGCGAAGGCAGCACUCUGGGCCGAACUGACGCUGAAGAGCGAAAGCGUGGGGAGCAAACAGGAUUAGAUACCCUUGUAGUC